UACAGAGGGUGCAAGCGUUGUUCGGAAUUAUUGGGCGUAAAGGGCGCGUAGGCGGCGGGGUAAGUCGGGUGUGAAAUCUCAGAGCUCAACUCUGAAACUGCACUCGAUACUGCUCUGCUUGAGGACUGGAGAGGAGACUGGAAUUCACGGUGUAGCAGUGAAAUGCGUAGAUAUCGUGAGGAAGACCAGUGGCGAAGGCGGGUCUCUGGACAGUUCCUGACGCUGAGGCGCGAAGGCCAGGGGAGCAAACGGG
rnacentral:rRNA from 1 species